AGCGAACGCUGGCGGCAGGCCUAAUACAUGCAAGUCGAACGGAUCCUUCGGGAUUAGUGGCGGACGGGUGAGUAACACGUGGGAACGUGCCCUUUGGUUCGGAACAACUCAGGGAAACUUGGGCUAAUACCGGAUAAGCCCUUCGGGGUAAAGGAUUUAUUCGCCAUUGGAGCGGCCCGCGUCUGAUUAGCUAGUUGGUGGGGUAAAGGACCUACCAAGGCGACGAUCAGUAGCUGGUCUGAGAGGAUGACAGCCACACUGGGACUGAGACACGGCCCAGACUCCUACGGGA
rnacentral:rRNA from 1 species